UUGAAAACUCUGAACGCUUGCGGCUUCACUUCUGUUGCUGACUCUUUGAGUAUGUGCACGCUUUGAAGUCGCUUGCCUCUUCUUUGUCCACCUGUGCACCUUUUGUAGAUCUGGUUUAGGGGUUUGAAGGUGGGGGGUUCGCUUCCCCUUCGUCCUCCGCCGGGUCUAUGCUUCAUAUCAUCUCUUGUAUGUUUAGAAUGUCUUCGUUUACGGGACUUCACCGUCCCCUAAAAAAACUUAAU
rnacentral:misc_RNA from 1 species